ensembl:snoRNA
AUCCUUUUGUAGUUCAUUAGCAUGAUGAUUGGGUUUUCAUGCUCAUGUGUGAGAUGUGCCACCCUCAGACCUUAUUACAUCGCCACAUUACCCAUCUGAUG